UGCACAUGUGUGUCUGUGUUAAUGGAGGCC
rnacentral:piRNA from 1 species